CUGAAGCUCACCGCUAGAGCUAAACUUUGUAGAACAGCAGUGUCAAACUUAGUUCCUGGAUGGCUAUAGUCCUGAACAGUUUAGUUCCAACCCUGCUCCAACACACAUACUUGUUUUAGACAAGCCUGAAGGACUCAUUUAGUUUGACCAGGUGUGUUUACUUAGGGUUGGAACUAAACUGUGCAGAGCUGCGGCCCUCGACCUGAGUUUGACACCUGUGCUGUAGAAUAUCUCAAAUUAAGUAAACAUUGUCCUGCCUUGAUCCAGGAGCAGGAGCAGUUCCGGGUGGGGCUGGGGUUCUACCUGGUGGCGCUGGAGUUCUUCCUGGUGGGGCUGGAGGAAUCUACCCUGCACCCGGAGGUAAAAAAAGAUAUAAAAGUAUAUAAAAAGAUAUUUGGAGCAACAGAAUGUGUUUAUGGUUUUAGUAAUGUCUUACAUUUUCAGUCUUUAACAUGUAAUUCAGAGUCUAUUUUAUUGGUCCUAUAACAGCUUUUCUAUCGAGACAACAUUAUCCUAUUCUCAUCUGUGACCUCAGUCCUAUCCUCACCCUCUCACUGUCUAAGAUGAAUGAUUUAUUAGGAAAAAGGAUGUCUUGCCAAAAACCGCUUGACAGUCAGUCUAUUAGAAUGAUAUAGUAGUGCUAAAUCUUUGUUGUUGUUGUUUACCUGUGUGUGAAGGUGCUGGUGCACUCUCCCCCGCUCAGGCAAAAGCUGCUAAAUAUGGUAAGCAUGUGUAUUUACUGAUAUACCUGGGUUACUUAAUUACAUCUCAAGUUAAUCUUACCUAAACAAGCCAAUAAAUGUCUUUAGUUAAAAGUACAAGAUAAAGCUCACUGUUCGACUUAGACUCUGUAGAACAAUAGUCCUCUUGCAGCAGGACUUAAGACACCUGAAACAUAAAAUUGGGAAUCUCAGAUUAAGUGUCCAUUGUCCUGCCUUUAUCCAGGAGCAGUUCCUGGUGGUGCUGGAGUUCUUCCUGGUGGUGCUGGAGUUCUUCCUGGUGGUGCUGGAGUUCUUCCUGGUGGGGCCGGGAUUGUGCCAGGAGCUGGAGGAGUCUAUCCUGCGCCAGGAGGUGCUGGUGCACUCUCCCCCGCUCAGGCAAAAGCUGCUAAAUAUGGUGCAGGAGCAGUUCCUGGUGGUGCCGGGAUUCUUCCUGGUGGUGCCGGGAUUCUUCCUGGUGGUGCUGGGAUUGGGCCAGGAGGAGUUUACCCUGGAACAGGAGGUGCUGGUGCACUCUCCCCUGCUCAGGCAAAAGCUGCUAAAUAUGGUGCAGGAGCAGUUCCUGGUGGGGCUGGGGUUCUUCCUGGUGGUGCCGGUAUUGUUCCAGGUAGGACUGGGAUUGUUCCUGCUGGACCUGGGAUUGUUCCAGGAGCUGGGGGAGUCUACCCUGCAACAGGAGGUCUUACACCAGCUCAAGCCAAAGCAGCUAAAUACGGUCUAGGUGCGGCAGGUGGAGCUGGUGCUGUUCCGGGUGUUGGAGGACUGUACCCUGGAGCAGGGGGAGCUGGAGUUGCCCCAGGCUAUGGUUCUGUGGCUGGGCUUGGAGGACAGCUUGGGGCUGGAGGGCUAGCAGCUGGAGCCAAACCUCCUAAAUAUGGUAAGGGCUUGACUCUUUUCUGUUUCAGCUGUCUUGGCAGUGUUAUUCAGCUGUUUGUACAUGUGUUGCUCUACAGUUUGUGUUUGAAUGUUGUUUGUAAUAGAAAAUAG
ensembl:lincRNA